GUGCCAGCAGCCGCGGUAAUACGUAGGGGGCGAGCGUUGUUCGGAUUUACUGGGCGUAAAGAGCGCGUAGGCGGUACGAUAAGUCGGAGGUGAAAUCCCUCGGCUCAACCGAGGACCCGCGUCCGAUACUGUCGAACUUGAGUGCAGGAGAGGAGAGCGGAAUUCCCAGUGUAGCGGUGAAAUGCGUAGAUACUGGGAGGAACACCGGUGGCGAAGGCGGCUCUCUGGACUGUCACUGACGCUGAGGCGCGAAAGCUAGGGGAGCAAACGGGAUUAGAUACCCCGGUAGUCCUAGCCGUAAACGAUGGGCACUAGGUGUGGGAGGUAUUGACCCCUUCCGUGCCGCAGCUAACGCAUUAAGUGCCCCGCCUGGGGAGUACGGCCGCAAGGUUGAAACUCAAAUGAAUUGACGGGG
rnacentral:rRNA from 1 species